GCCUAUUACCAAAUCACACUAAAUGUACCUGAUCUCUUCAGAUCUCAGAGGCUAAGCAGAGUUGAAUCUGGUUAGUACUUUAAUUUUAAGACCUUCAGCGGUCAGAAUAUGGUGGUGU
rnacentral:rRNA from 1 species